UCGGGGAACGAUAACGGCGUCGAGCGGCGGACGGGUGAGUAAUGCCUAGGAAAUUGCCCUGAUGUGGGGGAUAACCAUUGGAAACGAUGGCUAAUACCGCAUGAUGCCUACGGGCCAAAGAGGGGGACCUUCGGGCCUCUCGCGUCAGGAUAUGCCUAGGUGGGAUUAGCUAGUUGGUGAGGUAAGGGCUCACCAAGGCGACGAUCCCUAGCUGGUCUGAGAGGAUGAUCAGCCACACUGGAACUGAGACACGGUCCAGACUCCUACGGGAGGCAGCAGUGGGGAAUAUUGCACAAUGGGCGCAAGCCUGAUGCAGCCAUGCCGCGUGUAUGAAGAAGGCCUUCGGGUUGUAAAGUACUUUCAGUCGUGAGGAAGGCGGCGUCGUUAAUAGCGGCGUUGUUUGACGUUAGCGACAGAAGAAGCACCGGCUAACUCCGUGCCAGCAGCCGCGGUAAUACGGAGGGUGCGAGCGUUAAUCGGAAUUACUGGGCGUAAAGCG
rnacentral:rRNA from 1 species